rnacentral:rRNA from 1 species
AUGUUGCUUACUCAAAUGUUUGUGGCGAUUGUAUCCUUGUGCCAUGAAUAUUUGUACUUAGAAGAUCAAUAUAAACAUAUUGGCUAUCUAUUUACCAAUUCAGAAUUUAAAGCACUUUAUUUUAUGGCCUCGAGUAAAAGUUCAGUCGUUGUUGGCUGGAAGACAUCUUCAACACGCCAUCAACACGAGCUUCCCAAGGUAAUCAUCUAUUUAUUAUCAGCCCAUAUCUGGUGUGUAACAGGGUUCUUAUGUUUCAAAAUCCUCUGGCAUCAGAAAGAAGAUUUUGUCGAUGAUGUAAGAUAUCCACAUGUUGUAUAUGUGGAAAAACCAAAGGCUCAGGAUGUUAAUUUUUUGGAUGAAAUGAUUUAUCAGGCAAAAACUACAAGUGAAUUGGAAGAAGUAACGCUCAAAAGCCGAAAUAUAAUUCCUUGGGAAAGGGUAGAUGUUAGCUUCAAGAGAAGUAGACAAUGGAUUUUUUCCCAUAGCACCAUUCAGGUCCAGUUGUCGUUGCCUUCACUUGCUUUGUCGUUUACCGAUCUGUCAGCUCGCUGGUUCCCUGUCUUGCUGUCAAGUUGA